GAGGAAUAUUGGACAAUGGAGGAAACUCUGAUCCAGCCAUGCCGCGUGAGUGAAGAAGGCCUUCGGGUUGUAAAGCUCUUUUGUCCCUGACGAUAAUGACGGUAAGGGAAGAAAAAGCCACGGCUAACUUCGUGCCAGCAGCCGCGGUAAUACGAAGGUGGCAAGCGUUGUUCGGAUUUACUGGGCGUAAAGCGUGCGUAGGCGGUUUGAUAAGUCAGAAGUGAAAGCCCAGGGCUCAACCUUGGAAUUGCUUUUGAAACUAUUUUACUUGAAUCCGGUAGAGGUUGGCGGAAUUCUCAGUGUAGAGGUGAAAUUCGCAGAUAUUGAGAGGAACACCAGUGGCGUAAGCGGCCAACUGGACCGGUAUUGACGCUGAGGCACGAAAGCAUGGGGAGCAAAC
rnacentral:rRNA from 1 species